rnacentral:lncRNA from 1 species
AAGUUUUAAACUCCAAAAUAUUUAUCAAAUUAUUCAUGUUCUUUUUUAUUCUCUUUUAUUUCAUGUGUCAAUGAGAGAGGUGAAUGAUGCAAUUUAUUCCAUGCCUUCCUAUAAAGCUCUAGAUCUUGAUGAUUUCAACCCAUUUUACUUCUUAUAUAUAUGUAGAUCGUAGGGAGUUAUAUUGUUUGAAAGCUUGUUUUGGAGUGUUUUAAUAUUGGUAUUAUCCCUCCUAAGUUGACAUAGACUCUUAUUGUUCCAAUUCCUAAGAGUAAUAAACCUCAAAGUUUGAUGGCCUUUAGGACGACUAUCCUUUAUAACAUUCUUCUCAAGCUUAUCUCAAAGGUUAUGGUUUGAAGAAUUAGACCCCAUUUGAAGAAUCUUAUUGGUCUUGUCAACGUAGUUUUAUUCCAAACAAUGGUAUUGAUGAUCAAGAAUUUUUUUGUUGCAUGCAUACAAAGAAAGGUAAAUUUCCUUUUCUUAUGUGUAAAAUUGAUUUUGAUAAGGAAUAUGAAAGUGUGUACUGGAAUUUCCAAAGCUCAUGUUGUCGGAAUUUGGUUUUUCUCCUAUUGUCUUUAAUCUUAUCAUGAGUUGCACGGGCAAAAGUGGCGGACGUGUUGGGGGAUUUCUAGAGAGAGAAGUUCUAACUUCUCUCUACCUCUCCUCCCGAGCUCUGUUUAGGGUUUCCCUAAACAUCUAAGUGGUGGUUUUCCCCAGCACCUCCUAGCCCUCCCCAGCACCUCCUGGUCUACCCCAACACCUCCUGGUUCCCUGUUUUCUCUCUUUUCGUUGUGUUUAUGUCUGGAUUCAGAUCCAGAUCUUGUUUCUGAUUGAAGUUUGGAAAGGGUUGAUGUGUUGUUGUUGAUGUCUUCACAACCCUUCACUGCCAUAGCCUCUCCUCCCUUGACACGCCCACCACCAGAUCCACCGCCCUCCUCCCUCAUGUCAUGAUCCCUCCUCCACCAGCAAAUGUUUUCGCAAAGAGAGUUCCACCAAAGCCACCAUGGAUUGUCGACAGAUUUGAGCCCUCAAGGGUGAAUGUUUCAAAUUUGGUUAACUAUGUUUCUUAUGAUGUUUCCUUGUUUUUCAUGUUCUACUUGUGUUGUUGUGUCUCUGUUUUUAACUUAAAUAUGUUGUUAUGUCUUUGUUUUCCAAGCUCUACUUGUGUUGUUGUGUUUUUUGCUGUUGUAAGUGCCUUUACAAUAUCCCUUUUGGGUAAUUUGUGCUUCCAAGAUGUCAAUGGUAAAGCUGCACUCUACAUGUUUGUUAAAAUGCCCCAAAUGAGAUGGAUGUUGUCUGGGAAGAAGGACAGGGCAGAUGCACAUGAUGCUGUUAAUACCAACUUGUGCAACUCCUCCUUGUUUCAAUUCUAUUCCAAACGUGUGUUAAAUCUUGACAUAAUCGAGACCACUUAUAGUCGAACUGAGCUUGCAUCCGUAGCCAAUUUGAUCCGUAACUGGAUAGAUAUAAAGACUGUGGAUUCUCUUAUUUUCGUUGUCAUGGACCGUGUGCGGAAGUCAUUGCAAGCAAGGUUAUUAGUCCGUAGAUGUUGGGUGAACAACACCAGUUUAGCUACUAGUCAAUCUUUGUUUAAUGAUGAUUAUCAUAUCUUGUUAGGCUUUAUUUGUAAUGGUUUUCAUUUAUCUUGUUGGAGAUGUUUCAAACACCCUAGAUGAUUGAAUGAAUUUGCUUUGAUUGAAUGAAUUUGCUUUACCAUAAAAAAAAAAAAUAUAUAUAUAUAUAUAUAUCAUGAGUUGCACUAAUCCUCGACCUUAUAUCUCAAAUCGAAUAAUGAGCAACUUGAUAUUUUUAUUCCCAACCAAGGGUUAAGGCAAUGGGACCCUAUUUCUGAUUAGCUAUUCUUGCUUUGCAUGGAGAAACCAGUUCUACUUAUUCAAAAAAAGAGGGGUGAGCCGAUGGCUAUCUAUUGGGAUUUCUAAUAAUGGGAAUGUUGUUUCUCAUCUUUUCAUUAUUGAUCAUUAUCUUGUCUUUGCUUAUAUACCGACAGGGUUACCAAUCCAAAAUUUUCCUAUAUGAUUGAUAUGAACAACCCAAGGCUAGCUGGUUGCGAAGUUGGGAUUUUAAGUAGAUCAAGGGGAAUGAUUUUGGCUAAGUUUGUUUUUAGCCCAUCAUUGUGGAUUGGCUCCUAGUAUGGGUUUUGACUUUUGAUGAUGUUUUUAAUUAGAUUAAUUAGAUGUUAUUUAUACCUUUUGUUUGUGAUUCUUUAGCUUUGUUGUGAAAGCACCUUAACUAAUCUCUGAUCUCAAGUCAACUAUAUUAGUGUCAUUUGUUUAAAAUUGUGUUUAGGUGUUUUCUUGUGAGUUAAGUCUUUAAAAUUGCAUUUUUGGUCGUUUAAAUUGAUUCAAGCUUGGCAUGCAUUGUAUUAUUCAAGCCUUUGGGUUGUUAUGAUCACUUCAAGUAACACUUAAUACGAUUCAAGAAUUAUAUGUUUCGUAACACUUUGAUGUGAUUCAAAAGUUUUGUUAAAACCCUUGAUAAGAUUCAAACUCUCUCUCUACAUCUUCUUCAGAUUUUUGUUAAACAUUCUUCAAACUCUCUCCCUACAUCUUCUUCAGAUUAAACAUUUUUUCUAAGAUCUUUUUAGAGUGUGACGUCUAGAUUGUUAGGAUGAUAUAUAACUUGUAAGGUUUUUUUCUUUGAAGGAACUUGGUGGUAGAUCAAAAGAACUAAAAAAAGAAG